GCUGGGCAUGGUGGCGCGUGCCUGUAAUCCCAGAUACUCAGGAGGCUGAGGCAGGAGAAUUGACUGAACCCAGGAGGCGGAGGUUGCAGUGAGCUGAGAUUGCACCAUUGCACUGCAGCCUGGGUAAAAACAGCGAAACUACGUCUCAAAAAAAAAAAAAAAAAAAAAAAACAAAACACAAAGAAAACAUUGUCCCACUCCUAAGGAAAUCUUUUUUUUUUUUUUUUUUGAGACGGAGUUUAGCUCUCCUUACCCAGGUUGGAGUGCAAUGGCGCGAUCUCGGCUCACCGCAACCUCCGCCUCCUGGGUUCAGACAAUUCUCCUGCCUCAG
rnacentral:SRP_RNA from 1 species